GCUGAAAUCUACUCUUCUUCUAUCCUCGUCAGUCUUUGAAUACCUAAAUCACCAAACUUUACAAGUCACUUACCCUCCAAGACUGCCUUCUCUUUCGAAUGACUUUGGGGAGGGCAGACAUGAUUACAAGUGCUCCAGCGCUCCUCAUACUGAAGACCGCAUGAAUAGAGUUCUGGGACAUUCGGCAGGCAGGAAAGAUCCUGACAGUUCCUCCUGACUUUGGCCUACAGAAGCCAGGAGAGAGUCUUGCAAGGAUUUCUGGGGUCUACAGCACUAGGCUGCCAGGGCAGCUGGACCUCUGGAAAGCACAUGGUCUUUCAAGACCUGUCAAGUUCGAGUCCUUGUGUGACCAAAAGGGAAUACUAAAGGCGGACCCAUUCCAUGGCAAAGAUGUGAUGAGAGGAAGCUGGGUGUGUUUUAAAGUGUGCUCUACUUUCCUUGUUCUUAGAGUUAAGAGAGGAGGACUGGAGAGAUGGUUCAGUGGUCAAGAAUGUGAACUCUUGGAGAGGAACAACAUUUAGUUUCCAGCACACACAUCAGGAAGCUCACAGCCCUAGUAACUUCAGGGUACCUGACACACUCUUUCGGCUUCCACUGACACACACACACACACACACACACACACACACACACACCAUACCUGACACCUUAUUUUGGCCUUGACUGGAACCAGCACAUUUGUGGCAUACAAACACGUCACACAAACAUACAUAUACACAUAAAAAAAAAUAAAAUCUGCAAAACCAAAAUCCAUCGGUGAAAUACACAUGAGCAGAGAACAGGGGUAAUGUUUGAGAGCACAGUCAUGAGAUUGUUUAAUGCCUUGUCUUAGAUGUUUUUCCAGAUUCAUCUCUUUGUUUGAAAUAUGCUGGUAGGCACACAAAAGUGACUGAAAGAAAUGAAACGGUGACCAGGCACCUCAUCUUUCCAUCUCCAGUGCUCCCCGAAUUCUGGGGAGGUCUCACAGAGCACCGGAUGGUACAGUGCUCUGAAGGACCGGUAGAGUCUCGUCUUCGCUCAUGCCUGAGCUGACUGAGUUUCAACCCUUCAAGGCAAAGAGCACUAUGCGUGCCUGUGUUUGUCCUGUGCAUUCCAGCCCAAGGUGAGGAGAUGCUGGAGUUAGGUUCAGCCCUCCUCCACCAUGAAGGUCACCAGGCCUGCACAAGCCAGGGUGGGGCUGGCUGGGAGUCUGGCAGAUGUAUCCCCGCCAUGCACGGACAGGGCUCCCAUUAUCGCUAAUGGCUGCGACGUGCUCAGGGGAGGCAGAACAUGUUUCAAAGGUUUAUAUUCCAUCUGCUGAAUUGAUUCUAAUCUACAGGGCUGACUCUACUUUGGGCUCCUAGGAAGCAAACAAUUUUUUUUCUUUGAUCCUCAAUAAAACACAGGGAUUGAUUCUGCUAAGACAGCUAUGCAAAUAGCAUGUUAAAUAUUCAACAGAAAGGAAAUUAGAAUCAACUCUAAUGUGGUGAGAUGGGUUUCCCCCUCAACCUUUUUUUUUUUUAAUGGCUCAAAUGAGUUUCCUUGGUGAGAAAAGGGGUCCAGUUUGAGAAACUUCUAUCAACAUUACCAUGUGUCUAUGCUAUUGUCUGCAACCUGAACCGUUUCUCUGGUCCUGGGGAAGACCACAUCUGGAAGCACCAUUCAGGACCAGUGAGAUGGAUCGGUGGGUAAAAGCACUUGCCUCCAAGCCAAAUGGCCCGAGUUUAAUCCUGCGUCCCACGUGCUAGAGAGAAUUGACUCCCAACGUUGUCUUCUUGACCUUCGUGUGCAUGGAGUGACAUGCAUGUCCCCCCUUCCACAUACACAUACCCACAUAGUAAAUAAAUAAAUGUAAUUU
rnacentral:lncRNA from 1 species